rnacentral:lncRNA from 13 species
GAGAAAUUUCCAGGGUAGCCAUAAACCAGAUGUUACUUCACCCGUACGUCCGGAUCCCAACCAAGGCACCGGCCAACUGACCUCCCCACUCCAUCCCUGUUCAGCUGGAAGUAGUCAGAAAGAAACUGCGCCCUAUGUCAUCAAAAAGGAAAUUGGGGAAGAGCGAGGGGAAGGAGCUGUAUCUUGUCCUCUCUGCAUCUGUGAUCCAAGGCUUUCUUGUGAAUUGGUUUUUACCCACAUUUAAACUAUGAUGCCCAGAAUGGAACUCAGAGCUGCAAGCACCCCCAUCCAUCUUUGGAAGCCCUGGACAUACUCAAUGGAGCCGGCAGAAGACCUGCAGCCCCAAGUCUGCCUG